GGGCCGUUAGCUCAGUUGGUAGAGCAGGAGACUCUUAAUCUCAGGGGCAUAGGUUCGAAUCCUAUACGGCCCA
rnacentral:tRNA from 1 species